GGUUAAGCGACUAAGCGUACACGGUGGAUGCCCUGGCAGUCAGAGGCGAUGAAGGACGUGCUAAUCUGCGAAAAGCGCCGGCGAGGUGAUAUGAACCUUUGACCCGGCGAUGUCCGAAUGGGGAAACCCAGUGCAAUCCGUUGCACUAUCGUUAACUGAAUACAUAGGUUAACGAGGCGAACCGGGGGAACUGAAACAUCUAAGUACCCCGAGGAAAAGAAAUCAACCGAGAUUCCCCCAGUAGCGGCGAGCGAACGGGGAGCAGCCCGGAGUCUGAAUCAGCUUGUGUGUUAGUGGAACGGUCUGGAAAGUCCGACGGUACAGGGUGAUAGUCCCGUACACGAAAGCACACAUGCUGUGAACUCGAAGAGUAGGGCGGGACACGUGGUAUCCUGUCUGAAUAUGGGGGGACCAUCCUCCAAGGCUAAAUACUCCUGACUGACCGAUAGUGAACCAGUACCGUGAGGGAAAGGCGAAAAGAACCCCGGCGAGGGGAGUGAAAAAGAACCUGAAACCGUGUACGUACAAGCAGUGGGAGCCUCUUUAUGGGGUGACUGCGUACCUUUUGUAUAAUGGGUCAGCGACUUAUAUUCUGUAGCAAGGUUAACCGUAUAGGGGAGCCGAAGGGAAACCGAGUCUUAACUGGGCGUUAAGUUGCAGGGUAUAGACCCGAAACCCGGUGAUCUAGCCAUGGGCAGGUUGAAGGUUGGGUAACACUAACUGGAGGACCGAACCGACUAAUGUUGAAAAAUUAGCGGAUGACCUGUGGCUGGGGGUGAAAGGCCAAUCAAACCGGGAGAUAGCUGGUUCUCCCCGAAAGCUAUUUAGGUAGCGCCUCGUGAACUCAUCUUCGGGGGUAGAGCACUGUUUCGGCUAGGGGGCCAUCCCGGCUUACCAACCCGAUGCAAACUACGAAUACCGAAGAAUGUUAUCACGGGAGACACACGGCGGGUGCUAACGUCCGUCGUGAAGAGGGAAACAACCCAGACCGCCAGCUAAGGUCCCAAAGUCAUGGUUAAGUGGGAAACGAUGUGGGAAGGCACAGACAGCCAGGAUGUUGGCUUAGAAGCAGCCAUCAUUUAAAGAAAGCGUAAUAGCUCACUGGUCGAGUCGGCCUGCGCGGAAGAUGUAACGGGGCUAAACCAUGCACCGAAGCUGCGGCAGCGACACUAUGUGUUGUUGGGUAGGGGAGCGUUCUGUAAGCCGUUGAAGGUGUGCUGUGAGGCAUGCUGGAGGUAUCAGAAGUGCGAAUGCUGACAUAAGUAACGAUAAAGCGGGUGAAAAGCCCGCUCGCCGGAAGACCAAGGGUUCCUGUCCAACGUUAAUCGGGGCAGGGUGAGUCGACCCCUAAGGCGAGGCCGAAAGGCGUAGUCGAUGGGAAACAGGUUAAUAUUCCUGUACUUGGUGUUACUGCGAAGGGGGGACGGAGAAGGCUAUGUCAGCCGGGCGACGGUUGUCCCGGUUUAAGCAUGUAGGCGGAGGUUCCAGGUAAAUCCGGUACCUUAUUAACGCUGAGGUGUGAUGACGAGGCACUACGGUGCUGAAGUGAUAAAUGCCCUGCUUCCAGGAAAAGCCUCUAAGCAUCAGGUAACACGAAAUCGUACCCCAAACCGACACAGGUGGUCAGGUAGAGAAUACCAAGGCGCUUGAGAGAACUCGGGUGAAGGAACUAGGCAAAAUGGUGCCGUAACUUCGGGAGAAGGCACGCUGAUGUGUAGGUGAAGCCCCUGCGGGCGGAGCUGAAAUCAGUCGAAGAUACCAGCUGGCUGCAACUGUUUAUUAAAAACACAGCACUGUGCAAACACGAAAGUGGACGUAUACGGUGUGACGCCUGCCCGGUGCCGGAAGGUUAAUUGAUGGGGUUAGCGGCAACGCGAAGCUCUUGAUCGAAGCCCCGGUAAACGGCGGCCGUAACUAUAACGGUCCUAAGGUAGCGAAAUUCCUUGUCGGGUAAGUUCCGACCUGCACGAAUGGCGUAAUGAUGGCCAGGCUGUCUCCACCCGAGACUCAGUGAAAUUGAACUCGCUGUGAAGAUGCAGUGUACCCGCGGCAAGACGGAAAGACCCCGUGAACCUUUACUAUAGCUUGACACUGAACACUGGUCCUUGAUGUGUAGGAUAGGUGGGAGGCUUUGAAGCGUGGACGCCAGUCUGCGUGGAGCCAACCUUGAAAUACCACCCUUUAAUGGCUGGUGUUCUAACGUAGACCCGUAAUCCGGGUUGCGGACAGUGUCUGGUGGGUAGUUUGACUGGGGCGGUCUCCUCCCAAAGAGUAACGGAGGAGCACGAAGGUUGGCUAAUCCUGGUCGGACAUCAGGAGGUUAGUGCAAUGGCAUAAGCCAGCUUGACUGCGAGCGUGACGGCGCGAGCAGGUGCGAAAGCAGGUCAUAGUGAUCCGGUGGUUCUGAAUGGAAGGGCCAUCGCUCAACGGAUAAAAGGUACUCCGGGGAUAACAGGCUGAUACCGCCCAAGAGUUCAUAUCGACGGCGGUGUUUGGCACCUCGAUGUCGGCUCAUCACAUCCUGGGGCUGAAGUAGGUCCCAAGGGUAUGGCUGUUCGCCAUUUAAAGUGGUACGCGAGCUGGGUUUAGAACGUCGUGAGACAGUUCGGUCCCUAUCUGCCGUGGGCGCUGGAGAAUUGAGGGGGGCUGCUCCUAGUACGAGAGGACCGGAGUGGACGCAUCACUGGUGUUCGGGUUGUCAUGCCAAUGGCACUGCCCGGUAGCUAAAUGCGGAAGAGAUAAGUGCUGAAAGCAUCUAAGCACGAAACUUGCCCCGAGAUGAGUUCUCCCUGAGACUUUAAGUCUCCUGAAGGAACGUUGAAGACGACGACGUUGAUAGGUCGGGUGUGUAAGCGCAGCGAUGCGUUGAGCUAACCGAUACUAAUGAACCGUGAGGCUUAACCUU
rnacentral:rRNA from 1 species